rnacentral:misc_RNA from 1 species
UUCGGUAGUGCACUAAGCGGCCUCGCGUCGACCCACACGAGCGCGCACGUACACAGACGCCCCUCUCUCUCUGCAAUCAUCACACACUGACGUGCGGGUAUCAUCGUCAAGAGAAGAGGCUACCACCCAUACACCGCCUCUUUAUUUCUCGCAACUAUCUCGUAUUCAUCUCUCUGGCCGUGACUAGACUCACGUAAGUGCGUGGGGUGCGACUGAGUGCUCCUCCGCUGCCACUUCUCGGCGUGUGUGCUGGCGCGCGUCUCUUUCUUUCCCUGUUGCUGUGUCUGAGCGGUGGACCCCCCCCUUUGUGCAGCUCACUCACUCGCACGCUCGCUCUCGUCAAGUGCCUCGGCCGCCCUUCUCCUUUCCCUUUGCUUAUAGAGUCCUUCUCCGUUUUCUUUUCGAUCGUCUCCUUUUCUCCUGCGCCCUGUUAUCCCCUUCCCCUCCCCACUCCAUCCACCGAGCCAUCCACUCGCCGCAACGAUGGACACAACGACAGACUACAACACUAUCCUGCACCGAAAAGACAAGGUGACGCAGAAAGUCGUGGACGUCGCAGCUGCAGGGAUGCAACCCACCGCCGAGGAGAAGAGUGCCGCCACGGCCUUCGACGGCGAUGGCAACACUACUGUCGAGCGUGAGUCUCUCGAAGCCACGGACGAGGAGGAGACGACCAACACCUACGACGAGCCGCAGGCAGGCAAGCGAAAGUCGUCUGAGUCGAGCAGCAGCAGCACCACAGUGAGCGGCAGCAGCUCGGUCUCGCGCUCGGAGACUGGUUCCCCGAAGGAUGCCGCAGGCGCCCUGCUCACCGGUGGCCACGGCGCUUCGGGCGACGGGACAGUGCAGGUUGUGAUGUAUGCGAAGCGUGUGACAUACUCGUACAAAGAAUCUCAGCCCUUCCUGAACGCAACCACGCCGCCGAGCAUCACGGCAGGACAGGAGCAGUGCCCGACUACGUCUGCAAACACGAGCGCCGCCUUCCCUGAAGGCGUUUCUCAUCUUCUGGAGCCGGCCAUGCCAACGCCACCGCGCAGCAACUUCGUUGGUGGUCCCGGUGGUCCAGGUCGCUCCGGGCCUCGCGGCGUGGCAGCGUACAUGCAGCUCUCCCCUCCCCCCUCUGCUCCACAGACAACCGGCGCGAGCGCGUUAUACCCCUUCUCCAACAGUUACGCGGUUCCGCCGAGCACCGCCGUCAACGCUCCGUCGUUCUCGACCGCCUACCCCAAUAGCACCAGCGCCGGCGCAGGAUACUCUGCUGCGUACGCGACUGAGCAGGCACCGUACGACGAUUUCACAGGCGGACUCGCAACUCACGCGGCUGGCCCGUCCGCCGCUGUUGACCCCUCGCGGAAGCACACCGAGAAGGAGCCCGCACGGCGGAAGCGUCGCUGGGGCGCCGCUGCAGACGCGGACGAGAACCAGCCGCGCCGCAGCCGCCGUAUCCACAUACAGGACGAAGCCGUGGAGGAGGACGAGGAGUACGCGGACGAGGAGGGCGAGGGCUCGCAUGAGGCGUACACCGGCAGCAGCUACUCGGACGAAGAAGGCAGCUACAGUUACAGUGGAAACGAGGAGGACUAUGAGUACUACGAAGAGUUCUACGAGGAGGAGGUAGAGGAGGAUGAGGAGGAUGAGGAGGAACCGCGCAUCGACAUUAUCGAGGGCAGCGGCCACGGUAACACGCUGCACGAUAUCCUUUACGGUACCCCAAAGGCUGGCGCGAACGCGAACGGGAACUACAGCAGAGACCUCCGCGAGUCCGUGCGGUUAGACAGUCCCUACCACACGCCGACGGAGGACAAGCAGGAGCCCCCUCGCUACGGCCACCUACACCCGCGUCACGACGGCGAGGAAGACGAAAAAGAGGGCCGCCUCCGCUCCACAUCUGCCCACUCGUGGGAGGCCGCAGCUAAAGUGGCGGCGGCGCACCGUCGUUCUGCGACGCCGGAGCGCGUGAGUCGGCAUCACCACCACCACAAGAAGUCAGCCAAGGGCUACGAGGGAACAGACAGCGAGGAUGGCGAGAAUCACCACCACUCCGCUGCUGGUGCCGGCAAGAAGCACAGGAAAAGCGUGUAUGAGCACGGCGAGCCCUACACGGAGGGCACCUUCAAGGUCAAGGGCAGGAGGAGCAAGAAGGACAAGGCGGGAGGCCACUACGGAGCCAUGACGGAUCUCGACGACAUUAUGGAGCAGAGCACGGCCGACUCGGGCAGCGCAAGCAACGAAGCGCCACAUGAACCGGCUGGCAAGGACAGCCGGGCAGCCUUCCGCCCGUUGGGCUCUAGCGACACCGAGGAUGUCGAUGACUUCACCGCCCCUUCCAGAAGUCUCUCGCGCAACCGCAAGAAUCGGCAGCUCGCCAAGGAAGUGAAUGAAGAGGACCGUCUCCACCACCGCAGCGGUGCCGAGAGCAUGAAGGCGACAAGGACCACGAAGUUGGACGCCAAGGACGGCGGCAAGGUGAUUAGGGAGGAGGAGCCUAUCAACACGCCGUCGCAGCAGAAGCGCGCGGGUGCGGGCGACGAGGCUUCGGGUUCGACGGAGCAUGAGGACGAAGGUAGCUCGUCAGACAGGGGCGCGAAGAGGGAGGACAGGAAGAAGCCCAAGGGUGGCCUCCUCAUUAAGUGUGCCUGCUGCUCAAAGGAGAAAAACACCGACGCCAAGGCCAGCGGGAAGGAGAACGAGGAUGAGGCGCUCAAGGGUGGCCUCCUCAUUAAGUGUGCCUGCUGCUCAAAGAAGAAGGAGAGUGACGCCAUGGCCAACGGGAAGGAGAGCAAGACGAAGUCCAAGUGUUGCCUCUCCAGCAAGUGUCGCUGCUGCUCGAAAAAGAAGGACAGCGACGCCAUGGCCAACGGGAAGGAGAGCAAGACGAAGUCCAAGUGUUGCCUCUCCAGCAAGUGCCGCUGCUGCUCGAAAAAGGACAGCGACGCCAAGGCCAAAGAAAAGGAAGACAAGAAGCCCAAGCGUGGCCUUAUCAUUACUUGUAGCUGCUGCUCGAAGGAGAAGGGCAGCGACGUCAAGGCCAGCGAGAAGAAGCCCAAGGAUUCCAUCCUCUUUAACUGUGUCUGCUGCUCAAAGAAGGACAGCGGCGCCAAGGACAGGAAGGACAAGAAGCCCAAGGGCGGUAGCGGUGGCAUUUUCAGCUGUCUCUUCGCCAUGUGCAGCGGCAAGAAGAGUACCAAGGAUCAGGUGGCGGACAAGAAGGGCAAGGAAACCGACGAGGAGGAAGAGAAUUCCGACGCGGCAGCCCCAUCCAAGUGUCUCACCACGUCCCCUGUCGAGAGUCCAGUAUAUCGUCAGCUCAGUAGCCGGCAGUUGAACCGGAAGAGUGACAAGAAGGUAGACAGGGCGUUCAAGGUUUCCAAGUCACGGCAGGCGAAGCAGCAGGAGGAAGAGGAAGAAGUCACCGCUGAAACAUCAAAGUCUGCGUCCUCGGUCUCGUCAGCGGCGAUGACAGGCGAGUUUGAAGACCGAAGCGAGGACAGUGCCUCGUUCCCUCCAAAGAACGCGAAGCGCGGCGGCACUCAAGCCCUGUCUGAUAGCGCUCGUGUUGCAGCAGCCGCGUUGAGUCAAGAAGAAUCUGAGAGCGAGGCGAGUGCACCGGUCAGCAAGAAGGCAUCGUAUCAGCUGACCCCGAGGCCCUCGCCACGCUCGGCUGGUCAGGUUCACCGUCGGCACAGUCGCACUGGGUCCGCGAGGGUGCAGAGAGGCACUGCCGCAUCCUUCACUGAUCACUCGCGCUUUCACACAAAGCCGGAGAACCCCGGUGUUGUGAUUCCUGUGGACGUGAGUGAUGUCGACGAGAGCGACGAGUCGAGCGUCUCGAACUCGGCCAAGGCGCAGCAAAAGCGAAGUCACCGCCAUCGCCAAACACGAGUCGUCGAGUAUCGAAACAAACACAGAAGAGAGAGGAGCAGUCAGCGCAAAAGGGCUGAGAGCAGCCGCGCCGACAGAGCUAUGCUGCUCAAUGAGAAGCCGAAGAAUAGAUCCUCGUCCAGUGCGGGUGGGAAGCGGUCAUUCUCAGCAUCGUGAAAGCUCAAGGGCGCGCAGCAGCACGUGGGAUGGCGUCGAUUGGUCACCGAAGACCGGCCUGCAGGCGACGUUCGACGCUGCCCUUUUUUUUUGGACCGGAGGGAAAAGUGGGGACUGACUUGACGGGGACAGGUGCAGGAAGCGCUGCCUUCGCUCUUUGUUCUUUGGUCGCUCGUUCUUUCUUGUGCUGUGGUGGACGGUGCUGCUCUCACGCAUACACAUGUUAUGUGUGUGUGUGGGCGCGCUAUGUCAUCGGCCCUUGUUGCUCCCUUCUAUUCUCAUUCUCAUCUCUCCAUUGGUCCCUCCCCCCUCCCCAUCCCUUCAUCCUCCACCUCAUUCACUUGUACGGAAGCGCGUCGCUUCCUCCUUUAUAUAUCUCUCUCUGUUUUUUUUUCUACUGUCACAGUUGUUUGCCUGGUUUGUGUAUGCCUUUGUACAUGGAGCCCGUAAUGCUGUUUAUGCCAUCUCGGCUUGUGCGUCCAUGCUUACCGUGUUGAACGCGCUCCUGUGACGCACAUGUGAGCAUGUCGAAUGCACCCACACGCGCAGCCCUUGGCCGUCACCACCAUCCCCGGCAGAGAGGCACAAGGGCCAUGCAACACUGGAGAGGCAAUGAUAGGAAUAGAGCGCCUUCAUGUGUGUGCGUGUGCACGCUGUUGCUGCUGCUGCUGCUGCUGCUCUGUUCGCCUCCCUCCCCCCCUCUCCACCCCCCCUCUGCCUCCCACGCAAGCACGUACACGCACACACACAUAUAUGCGUGCAUAAUGCUGAGUGAUUUCUCCUUUUUUAUUUCCCUUUUGGUUGUCCAAAUCUAUCUUCAAUGUCCACCCCCUCCCCUCCCUUCCAUCUCUAUCAUCUGUCUUCACCACAUGUCUGUUACGAGUAGAGGUGGAGAGGAGGAAGAGGGGGAAUGGGGAUGUUGAGAGAAAGACGAUUGGCGCUGCGUGGCCCCUCGGACUCUUUUCUUCCUCGUUUUUUUUUCUUUUCCGGCGCCGCCCUCCUCACACACACACACACACACACACCGUCGUUUGCCGCCCAAACAGCCCCCAUCACCGCCACACCCUCAUCAUAUUCCACCCCACCCCACCCCAGCCACCAGCCACCAACCACCCGCUCACCUUCUACUCCAGAGGGAAGCCAAGUGGGAAGGACAGGGUAAAGGGGAGGAGGGGCAGGCAAGCAUCCCAUCGGUCACCUCCAGCGCUGUGUCUGAUAUAUGUAUACACAUACCACUGGCGUGUAUUCAUUGUCACUCGAUCGCCGUUUUUCGUGUGAUUUCGCUUCUUUUCUUCUUCUCUUGGUGCCCCUCCCCCUCUUCCCCCUCCUCCUCCUUUACCGUCCGCAUCGCCGUUUACCUUUUCGCUAUCUCUUCUGGCACACCUUUAUACACACAGCGACGAUUCUUUUUUGUUGUUGUUUCUGUGUUGUUGUGCUGACGAUAUCGCCUGCAAUUCUUGUGGUUCUUUGGCUGUGUGCCGUGAUUCCUAUCACGCCCUCGCUCACCCUCUUCAUCCGCCCCCCCCGUGUUGGUCCUUCUCUCUUCAGCACCUCUCUUUGUUUGUGUGCUUGGUCUUUUGUCUUGCGCUGAUGAUGAUGCUCUUUCUACGUUGUGCUGAGGAGGCAGAUUUUCGUGGCGUAGUCGUCGUGUUGAACGUAUUGUGUGUAUGCACUAAAAAGCGUGGCUAGAGUUUGUAUACGUGUUUGUUUCUCUUCUUCCUGUACCUCUUUCCGUGCUCUCUUCCUUUAUUAUUGUUUUGCAUGGGUGUGCGCGUGCGUGUGUGUGUGCGCGCGCGCAUGCCUCUUUUGAUGGGUCACACACAAGCACAUGCACACACACUCGCCACCACAGCCUCGAUCAUAACUAGCACCACCCCUUUCCGCAUUUAUUUUCUCUUCGCGCCCUCUUACGGUAUACCGCAGAGUGAGGAGUGAGAUUCGAUCUCCGAGCUCCGUUUUCUUUUUCCUCUCGUCAUUGUUUCUUUGCAUAGGUGGCGCGGUACGUGAUGUCACUCCUAAUGUGGAUCCCUCAUAACCCCAAAAGCACCGCAGCAUAGCUCUACCUGUUGUUGGUUGUUGUUUUGUGUGUGUGUGUGUGUGUGUGUGUGUGCGUGUGUACGUCCCUUUCCCGCAACGCUGUGCGCACACGACUACACAUGUGAGUCUCUGUACGCGUCCCAGCUGCUUGCUUUCUUAGAUUCACCUGGACUCACUUUCCUUUCAAGGGUUUGGGAGGGUGUGCGGGAGGGGGACUUUUCUCUCUCCGCGUGUUCAUUCUGCGAUAGAGCAUGAGUUGAAUUUCGCUCGACCCCCUCCCCUCUCUAAACCACCGGCUUUCCACAGUCCCCACAUCGCGUGGCGCGAAGCAGGGGUGGGCACGCGCUAGAGUGCUGCGCCGACUCAGUCGUCGGAGAGCACGGUCCCCUGCCUCGGACUCUACCCACACACCUCUCGCUCCGCAGGUCGCCUCACCGCCGCUCCCGCAUCAUGCCGGUCGCUGCCUGGUGCAUCCUCCCCUCGGGGUGCCUCAGGCCUCCCCCACACCGCUGUAGGCAGCGCGAGGGCCGGGGGUGGGAUAUGCGCUCGCGUCACGCUGACGCUCUGCCUGUCACGUGGAUGGCGCAGACGUGUACGCUGACCCACUGUCGCAGGUCGCUCCAACGCAACGCCAUCCAGGGCCUGGCCGUGUCACCACUAGAGGUGGUUCUGCAUCCGGCAGGGGAUAGGGCUGGGGAGGGCUGCUUGGCUUCACCACACAGUGCGUGGGUAGUGGACCCUGAGAUACGGCGCACUGAGCGGUGUCCACACGUCAUCAAAGACAUGCUUAUGGAUGGACUGAGCAAGCGCGGGCCUGCAUGCGCUUGUGGGUGUGCCGAUUUGUGGUGGUGCUGUCCUUUGUUUUCUUCGUUCUCCCACCGGGCGUGACUUUUCUGUUAUUGUGGGUUUUUCUUGUUCUUUACCCCGUUUGGCCUUUUUUGCUUGUAGGUUUGAUAGAGAUGCCGCGACCCGGCAACCGCUGCCAGUCCUUGAUGGUGCCCCUCCCCCUCUCCCAAGCACCACCACCAACAUCACCUCGAUCCCCACUGUCCACCUCUCUCUCUUUCCACGCAUGGGUCCAAGGCUUCGAUCCCUCAUCCAUCUCAGCACGCGCACACGCACAAGCAAAGGUACACACAAGCGAUAGUGCCUCUUGUCGGCUUCGCUUGCCACAGCCGUGCACGGCGAUGUGUGCUCAUGUGGCUGUGAUGUCUUCGAAAGCCUCAUCGCCCCUCUCCCUCCCUGUCGUCUAUUAGAACUCCCCUAACAAACUUAGCAGCGUUUCGAGAGAGAAAGAGAAAAC